rnacentral:rRNA from 1 species
UGGGGAAUAUUGGACAAUGGGGGCAACCCUGAUCCAGCAAUGCCGCGUGUGUGAAGAAGGUCUUCGGAUUGUAAAGCACUUUCGACGGGGACGAUGAUGACGGUACCCGUAGAAGAAGCCCCGGCUAACUUCGUGCCAGCAGCCGCGGUAAUACGAAGGGGGCUAGCGUUGCUUGGAAUGACUGGGCGUAAAGGGCGUGUAGGCGGUUUACACAGUCAGAUGUGAAAUCCCCGGGCUUAACCUGGGAGCUGCAUUUGAUACGUGUAGACUAGAGUGUGAGAGAGGGUUGUGGAAUUCCCAGUGUAGAGGUGAAAUUCGUAGAUAUUGGGAAGAACACCGGUGGCGAAGGCGGCAACCUGGCUCAUGACUGACGCUGAGGCGCGAAAGCGUGGGGAGCAAACAGGAUUAGAUACCCUGGUAGUCCACGCUGUAAACGAUGUGUGCUAGAUGUUGGGUAACUUUGUUAUUCAGUGUCGCAGUUAACGCGUUAAGCACACCGCCUGGGGAGUACGGCCGCAAGGUUGAAACUCUAAAGUGAAUUGACGGGGU